UCGACGGAUGCUGAGCGGAGGAGGCGCACGGGAGGGGCUGCUGUGUCUUAACAAAUUCUCGUAUUCCAACGAGCGCAAGGGGAUCAGGACGGAGCUAAACCAAAAAUAUUUCACUGGUAAAACCCCCUCAAGAACCCGUAAUGCCUCUCUUACAGUGGAUUUAUAUCCUGUCAUCUUUGACAGCAUCGUUUUAAAGGAAAAACAUUGCGAAUCGGACAUUUUGCGCUCCUCCGGCGAGGCUCACGAACGCGUUUAGUUCCACAAACUGAAUACAAAACAGCUUUGAGGAAAAGAAGAGAUUGGCGUAAGUCAAGGUAAGACGUUGGCAAACCAUCAUGGCAUGGCCCUGUAUCUCCAGAGCCUGCUGUAUGGCUCGGUUCUGGAACCAGCUGGACAAGGCCGACAUUGCGGUGCCGUUGGUUUUCACCAAGUACUCGGACGUGUCCGAAAUGCAGCAUCUUCACCUGCAGCAGCCCGCGCCGAAGGUCGCCAUAGAAACGCAGCCGCUUCAGAACGACCACGACGCGGUGACCAAAGCACCUCCAGCCCAGGAGGAGAACGUCUUAGGAUCUGUGAUGCGCCAGGACUUUAAACACUGGAAAGUUCGUCCGGAGCCCAGCUGCAAGCCCAAGAACGAGUACCAUGGCCCCGAGGUUCCUUUUAACAACGAGACCCAGUAUCAGAAGGACUUCAAACCCUGGCCAAUCCCAAAGAAGGGAGAUCAUCCUUGGAUCCCCAAACCCUCUCCAACCAUCUCAGCGGGCAGCGACCGCAUCCCUGACAGAUCCAAACACACUUUAGAGAUGAUGGACACUGGAGUGGAAAAGAGUGAGAUUGCUGACAAGGUGCAGGAGAAGGAGAUCCUGUCUAGUGAAAGGAAAAAGAGGCAAGCCAAGAAAGCCACCGUGGUUUCUGAAAACAAAGCUGGCGUGAAGGUGGACGGGCAGAGCGCAGGGGAUGCCACCACUACAGAGGGUAAAGGGAGGGCAGCUGUGGAUGCUCUCAACCGGCAGAUUAAACAAGAAGUCGGCUCUGGCAGCUCCUACAGGACGGAGUUCAAGGCCUACACAGACGUGAAACCUGUGAAGCUUAUCAGGGCCAAGUCUCAGUAUCAGCCUCCCGAUGAGAAGACUGAUCUGGAAACCAGCUAUAGCGCCACCUAUAGGGCCUACCAGGCUACUCAGAAGCCAGAUGGCAACAAGGCCUUGGAGAGGAGGAGGAUACGCUCACUGUACCAUGAACCUUACAGAGAGAGCAGUAAGGUGGAGAAAACCAGUCUUCCUCGCUCCAAACCCAAAAAGAGCACAUCCGCCACACCUGGCAAACCGCUGAAGAAGUCCAAGGAGAAGCAGGCGACGUCGGUGCGCGGUUCAAAGAAGAAGAGCUCCGAGAACCAGCCGGAGGGCAGAGCGGCGCAGGGCGACAAGGAGAAAAGUAAAGAGAUCAACAACAAACUGGCUGAGGCGAAAGAGGUUAUGCUAAAACAGUACCACUACAUUCAGCUCUGUCAGCCCAUCCGUGAUAUUGGUUGGGUGCAGACACUAAAGCAACACCUGUGGCGCUGUGCGAUGCCCGACCCAAGGUAAUUCUCGCCUGAGAUUAGCUAAACUUCUUCCGCCUUCAUCAGUACCUCAGCAGCACAAUUAUUACUCACUGACAGAAACUGUAGUGUUGCUAGUGCUUCGUACUCUAGUGUUCCCAUUGAGAAUUUAGUACACCAUAUCUGUUCAGUGUUUUUCAUCUUUUGAUUUGCUCCCAUGCGUAUUCUCUUCCAUAUGGAAAGUGUUGGACCAAAGGAGGUUGAAUAGGAGUUUGACUGCUCAUGGUGUUUCCUGUUGUUAAUGUUGUUUUCGGAGUACGUUGAGCAUUUAUUUGUUAGUCUUUCUUUUUUAAACAUGCAUGUUCUGUUUUAAUGUUGACUGCCAUCACAUACAGGCUUGUUGCUGUGUUCUUGUAAAAAAAAUAGGUCAAGGAAAAGAUUUUUUUCUUAAUGUAUUCAUCUAAGGCAUUGCUCCCUAUAGAAGAGUUUGAAGUGUCACAUCUUUUUUGUGGUACUUGUAAAUUAAUGUAGCAUCAAUCUCUCCUCUGUACUGCAGGAAUAAUCCAUUUACAGUGAACUUUAAAUGUUAGAUUAAUUUUUUUUUUCAUCUUUGUCAGGAGAUUAAUGAAAUUGAACUCGAUGAUAUUUAAAUCUUCUUUAGUUUUAGAACAGCACAUCGCAUUCUUGUUCAGUGGUGUCUGUCUUGUUGUUUUCAUGCUGGUUUUAUUUCUGGACUUUUCCUUUGAACAGCCUGAGAUCACUGUUAUAUUUCAUCCAAUUAUCUGGAGGAUAUUGGGGUCCAAAUGAGUUUACACAUUUAGUGUCACAUGUUUGCUUUUAAAACGUGCCUGAAAUACAGUAGUUAAAUACAAUAUUUAAAUAAAAAGGAAUAUUAUAAACCUAUACAAUGCUUAUUUAAUCAUAAAAACAUUUUGACACCAAAAGCGAAUUUAAUUAUUUGUGCAAGAUUACAUACAAAGCAAAUGCAAAGAAGCGAAUUUGCACCGUGUAAUACGAAUGACGCAAAUCGGGCGACGCAUUUGCAUCGAGCGCGCGAUAUACACCUCGAUCGCAUCUUACGCGCAAGUCCAAAAAUUUCAACUCAAGCGGAAAAUUUGCAUGAUGUGUUGUCGCACAAGCCAAUCACUAAAGAGCGUACUGACACAUCCAGUUUGGCAAAUACAUUACAUACGUUUUUAUGAACGAGUGCUGCAAAAACAUCCCUCAAGUAAAUUAUAGCGAGUAAUGUGUUGAGAAUAUUCGCUUUGCGUUUGGUGUGCACACAGCAUAAUGGUGUGUUCACACCAAAAAUGUAUUUAACUAUUCGUGUGAGAUUACAUACCAAGUAAAUGCAAAGAAGUGAAUUUGCGCAGUACGAUACGAAUGACGCUAAUUGGGCGACGCAAUUGCCAUGAACGCACGAUAUACACCUCAAUCGCAUCUUAGGUGUGAGUUUAAAAAUUCGACUUGAGCGGAAAAUUCGCAUGAUGUGUUGUCGCACAAGCCAAUCGCUAAAGAGCUUACUGACACAUCCAGUUUGGCGAAUAGAUUACAUACAUGUUUUUAUGUUUUUAUUAACGGGUGUUGCAAAAAACAUCCCUUAGGUAAAUUAUAGUAAAUUAAGUAAGUGCAAAGACACAAAUUUGCACCGGGCGAUGCAAAUGAUGCAAAAUGGGUGACAUAAUUUGCCGCAGACGCGUGAUAUAUGCGUUAAUUAUUCAUGUGAGAAGAUUACAUACAAAGUCAAAGCAAAGACAUGACUAGAUGUGAAUUUGUGCCAUGCGAUACGAAUGGUACAAAUUGGGCACCGCGAUUGGUGCAAAUGCACAAUAUACACCUCAGUUGCGUUUUCCACACAAAAUUUCAACUCGAGCAGAAAAUUCACAUGAUGUGUUGUCGCGCAAGCCAAUCAACAAAGAACUUACUGACACGUCAGGUUGUAUCAGAAAAUGUUUUUUUUUUUUAUUGUUUUUAUGUUUAUAUUCACGUGAGUGAUGCAAAAACAUCCCUUGAGUAAACUAGAGUGAGUAAUGCAAUAAGAAUAUUUGCUUCACAUUUGGUGUGCACACACAUAAAGGUGUGUUCGCACCAAAAACUAAUUUAUGCUGCACAAUGCAAAUAACACAAAUUGGGCAACGCGGUUUCUGAGAAUGGUGCGGUUUCUGAGCAUGCCUCAAUUGCGUCCUUUGCGCAGGUUAAAAAAUGUCAACUCGAGCUGAAAAUUUGCUUGACACGUUGUUGCAACCCAAUCAGCGAAGAGCUUAUUUAUACAUCCGGUUGUAUCAGAAAAUGGAGGAGAACAUUACGCUUGCGAGUAAUCAAAUUACUGAACUGUGUGUACGGAACAGGAUUAAGCACUAAAAGAGAAUCUGAGUCUGGCCUCGGACGAGUCAGCGAUUAUUAUUCCGCGGGUACCUCUGGAAGAGAACCACUGGUGGGACGACCAGAACCACGUCGGGGAGUAGUCCGGUUCGCUC